UAGGGAAUCUUCCGCAAUGGCCGCAAGUCUGACGGAGCAACGCCGCGUGAGUGAAGAAGGAUUUCGGUUCGUAAAACUCUGUUGUUAAGGAAGAACGAGUGUGAGAAUGGAAAGUUCAUACUGUGACGGUACUUAACCAGAAAGGGACGGCUAACUACGUGCCAGCAGCCGCGGUAAUACGUAGGUCCCGAGCGUUGUCCGGAUUUAUUGGGCGUAAAGCGAGCGCAGGCGGUUAGAUAAGUCUGAAGUUAAAGGCAGUGGCUCAACCAUUGUAGGCUUUGGAAACUGUUUAACUUGAGUGCAGAAGGGGAGAGUGGAAUUCCAUGUGUAGCGGUGAAAUGCGUAGAUAUAUGGAGGAACACCAGUGGCGACGGCGACUCUCUGGUCUGUAACUGACGCUGAGGCUCGAAAGCGUGGGUAGCAAACAGG
rnacentral:rRNA from 1 species